rnacentral:rRNA from 1 species
UGGUCAAGUUAUUAAGGGUGCAGGGCGGAUGCCUUGGCACUAGGAGCCGAUGAAGGACGUGAUAAGCUGCGAUAAGCUUCGGGGAGUUGCACGUAAACUUUGAUCCGAAGAUUUCCGAAUGAGGAAACUCACUUAGAGUAAUGUCUAAGUAUCAUUAAGUGAAUACAUAGCUUAAUGAGGGGAACUCAGGGAACUGAAACAUCUAAGUACCUGAAGGAAGAGAAAGAAAUUCGAUUCCGUAAGUAGCGGCGAGCGAACGCGGAUUAGCCCAAACCAAUAAAGUUUUCUUUAUUGGGGUUGCGGACAUAUCAUAACGAAGAGGUAUCGUAAUUGAAGAGGUUUGGAAAGACCCACCACAGAAGGUAAUAGUCCUGUAUGUUAAACGAGAAGACUUCAGAUAUGAUCCAGAGUACCACGGGACACGUGAAACCCUGUGGGAAGCAGGAGGGACCACCCUCCAAGGCUAAAUACUACCUAGUGACCGAUAGCGUAUAGUACCGUGAGGGAAAGGUGAAAAGAACCCCGGGAGGGGAGUGAAAUAGAACCUGAAACCCUGCACUUACAAGCUGUGGAAGCACAUUUCUUGUGUGACCGCGUACUUUUUGUAGAACGGGCCAACGAGUUACGUUAAGUAGCAAGGUUAAGCACUUAAGGUGCGGAGCCGUAGCGAAAGCGAGUUUUAACUGAGCGUUCAGUUACUUGACGUAGACCCGAAACCGGGCGACCUACCCAUGAGCAGGAUGAAGCGAAAGUAAAAUUUCGUGGAGGUCCGAACCCACGAGCGUUGAAAAGCUCGGGGAUGACUUGUGGGUAGCGGUGAAAUUCCAAUCGAGCCCGGAGAUAGCUGGUUCUCCCCGAAAUAGCUUUAGGGCUAGCCUCAAGGUGAGAGAUACGGAGGUAGAGCACUGAAUGUCCUAGGGGGUAUUGCACCUACCGAAGACUAUCAAACUCCGAAUGCCGUCAUCUUAUACUUGGGAGUCAGACUGUGGGUGAUAAGAUUCAUAGUCGAAAGGGCAACAGCCCAGAUCGUCAGCUAAGGUCCCUAAAUGUAAGUUAAGUGGUAAAGGAUGUGGGAUUGCACAGACAACCAGGAUGUUGGCUUAGAAGCAGCCACUCAUUCAAAGAGUGCGUAAUAGCUCACUGGUCGAGUGAUCCUGCGCCGAAGAUUUCCGGGGCUAAAACUUACUACCGAAGCUACGGCAUCAGUAAUGAUGGGUAGGGGAGCUUCCCAUACAGGUUGAAGCAUGACCGUAAGGACAUGUGGACAGUAUGGGAGUGAGAAUGUUGGCAUGAGUAGCGAGAUGUGGGUGAGAAUCCCACAGGCCGUAAACCCAAGGUUUCCAGGGGAAGGUUCGUCCGCCCUGGGUUAGUCGGGACCUAAGCUGAGGCCGAAAGGCGUAGGUGAUGGACAACAGGUUGAUAUUCCUGUACUACCGAUAACCGUUUGAGAGAAGGGAUGACACAGUAGGAUAAGCUAAGCACACUGUUGGUUAUGUGUGCCCAAGCAUUGAGGCAGUCAAAGCAGGCAAAUCCGCUUUGAUAAUGCUGGGAUGUGAUGGGGAGCGAAAUUUAGUAGCGAAGUAGCUGAUUUCACACUGUCAAGAAAAGUCUCUAUCGAGGUUAAAGGUACCCGUACCGCAAACCGACACAGGUGGGUGAGGAGAGUAUCCUAAGGCCAGCGAGAGAACUGUUGUUAAGGAACUCGGCAAAAUGACCCCGUAACUUAGGGAUAAGGGGUGCCACCAUCCGGUGGCCGCAGAGAAUAGGCCCAAGCGACUGUUUACCAAAAACAUAGGUUUCUGCUAAGUCGCAAGACGAUGUAUAGGAGCUGACGCCUGCCCGGUGCUGGAAGGUUAAGGGGAUCUGUUAGAGCAAUCGAAGCAGUGAACUUAAGCCCCAGUAAACGGCGGCCGUAACUAUAACGGUCCUAAGGUAGCGAAAUUCCUUGUCGGGUAAGUUCCGACCCGCACGAAAGGCGUAACGAUUUGGGCACUGUCUCAACAACAGACUCGGUGAAAUUGUAAUUCCGGUGAAGAUGCCGGAUACCUGCGACAGGACGGAAAGACCCCAUGGAGCUUUACUGUAGCUUGACAUUGGGUCUUGGUACUACAUGUACAGGAUAGGUGGGAGGCUUUGAAACCAGGACGCCAGUUUUGGCGGAGCCAUCCUUGGGAUACCACCCUUGUAGUACUGGGACUCUAACCAUAGGCCAUGAAUCUGGUCUUGGGACACUGUCAGGUGGGCAGUUUGACUGGGGCGGUCGCCUCCCAAAAGGUAACGGAGGCGCUCAAAGGUUCUCUCAGUACGGUCGGAAAUCGUACGUAGAGUGUAAAGGCAAAAGAGAGCUUGAUUGCAAGACAUACAGGUCGAGCAAGGAUGAAAAUCGGACUUAGUGAUCCGGUGGUUCUGCGUGGAAGGGCCAUCGCUCAACGGAUAAAAGCUACCCUGGGGAUAACAGGCUUAUCUCCCCCAAGAGUCCACAUCGACGGGGAGGUUUGGCACCUCGAUGUCGGCUCAUCACAUCCUGGGGCUGUAGUAGGUCCCAAGGGUUGGGCUGUUCGCCCAUUAAAGUGGUACGCGAGCUGGGUUCAGAACGUCGUGAGACAGUUCGGUCCCUAUCCGUCGCAGGCGUAGGAAAUUUGAGAAGACCUGUCCUUAGUACGAGAGGACCGGGAUGGACGUACCUCUGGUGUACCAGUUGUCCUGCCAAGGGCAUGGCUGGGUAGCUAUGUACGGAAUGGAUAAGCGCUGAAAGCAUCUAAGCGCGAAGCCAACUUCAAGAUAAGAUUUCCCACCGCAAGGGUAAGACCCCAGAAAGACUAUCUGGUUGAUAGGUCGAAGGUGUAAGUGCAGCAAUGUAUUUAGCUUAUCGAUACUAAUAGGUCGAGGACUUGACCAAU